rnacentral:rRNA from 1 species
GAUGAACGCUAGCGGCAGGCCUAAUACAUGCAAGUCGAACGGUGUAGCAAUACACAGUGGCGCACGGGUGCGUAACACGUAUGCAACCUACCUUACAUUGGGGGAUAGCCUUUCGAAAGGGAGAUUAAUACCGCAUAAGACAGUAACUAGGCAUCUAGUAGCUGUUAAAGAUUUAUCGAUGUAAGCUGGGCAUGCGUCCAAUUAGUUAGUUGGCGAGGUAAUGGCUCACAAAGACGAUGAUUGGUAGGGGAACUGAGAGUUCAAUCCCCCACACUGGCACUGAGAUACGGGCCAGACUCCUCCGGGAGGCAGCAGUAGGGAAUAUUGGGCAAUGGGCGCAAGCCUGACCCAGCCAUGCCGCGUGCAGGAAGAAGGCGUUAUGCGUUGUAAACUGCUUUUAUACAGGAAGAAACGACCCUUGCGAGGGGCAUUGACGGUACUGUAUGAAUAAACACCGGCUAACUCCGUGCCAGCAGCCGCCGUAAAAC